AAGAUGGGAUGCUCCCAUUUUCUUCCUUUGGAAACUGUAAUGGGUAAACAGGUAUCAGAUUGUAGUAACAAGAGGAGCAUAUUAAGGAUCAAAGCAAAGCCUGAGGAUGAUAGGUGCAUAAAAAUACGUUUGUUAUCCAUUGCAGGACUUUUACAGGACAGAUGGCUUCUCAAAUUCUGCAUCCAGGCAGAUAAGGAAAAGAUUUCAGCACAGAAGAGGAUUAACUGCAGCACAGGAACAGAAAUGAACAGUCAGUGUUUAAAGGAAAUACAAGAACUUCUAUGCCUUACUGUCAGAGAAAAAUGUCAGUUCCUCACAGGUGGCACACUUGCAGCUGGCAGGUGAGGCCUCACCAGGUGAAUACUGGUGCCCACUGAGCAGCCCACAGAAUUCAAAGUAGCCUUCAAUGUAAGUGCAACCAGUGUGACCUCACUGCUCCAGAAACAGACUCCAAACAGUUGAUUGUCUCAUUCUUCUGAAGGUAUGUCUUCCAAAAAAAGGUAGGAAUUUGUAGAACAGCUCUAGUUUCUUCUCUCCUGUUUAAUUUUCUAGUCCUAGACCUCAAA
rnacentral:lncRNA from 1 species